CCCUUAGAUGUCCUGGGCCGCACGCGCGUUACACUGAAGGAAUCAGCACGUCUUUCUCCUUGUCCGAAAGGACUGGGUAACCCGCUGAACCUCCUUCGUGCUAGGGAUUGGGGCUUGUAAUUCUUCCCCAUGAACGAGGAAUUCCCAGUAAGCGCGAGUCAUAAGCUCGCGUUGAUUACGUCCCUGCCCUUUGUACACACCGCCCGUCGCUACUACCGAUUGGAUGGUUUAGUGAGAUCCUCGGAUUGGUCCCGGCGCGGCCUCUGGUCGUGCCGGAGUGCCGAAAAGAAUGUCGAACUUGAUCAUCUAGAGGAAGUAAAAGUCGUAACA
rnacentral:rRNA from 1 species